rnacentral:rRNA from 1 species
UACGGAGGGUGCAAGCGUUGCUCGGAAUCAUUGGGCGUAAAGCGUACGCAGGCUGUUCGUUAAGUCGGGUGUGAAAUCCCGGGGCUCAACCCCGGAACUGCGCCCGAAACUGGCGAGCUUGAGUGCGGGAGAGGGAAGCGGAAUUCCUGGUGUAGAGGUGAAAUUCGUAGAUAUCAGGAGGAACACCGGUGGCGAAAGCGGCUUCCUGGCCCGACACUGACGCUCAUGUACGAAAGCGUGGGGAGCAAACAGG